AAACGCCAGUAUAAAAAGGGGAGAAUCCCAGUGGAAGAGCAUCAAAACAGUGCAGUUUCUCAUCCAGCAUCUAUCAGUGUAAUUAAAAUGGCUAAACUGGCAUUCGUUGUGUUGGUUCUGGCGCUGCUCGCCAUUGGAGGCACAGUGGCGGCCCCGUUCGCAUUCCCCAACCCUGCCCCUAAUCCAGUGGCGGCUCCCCAAUACUACUCGGCUUACUCCUACCCAUACAGCGCCUAUUCUUACCCCUAUGGAUACGCCAACUAUGGAUAGAACCACCUAGUAGUUCCUGCCUAUCAACGCUUACCUUUACGCACGCAAACCGCUGGGAUUUUUGCCAAUUUUGUUAAUAAAACUAGUUAAGAAGCUUUUAUUUGUUUUUCUUCUGAAACUACCCAACAUUGGAUUCUUGCAAAGCCUGCAAAGGUCAAUGCGAUCUUCAUCUCGUUUCAAUGAAACUAAAAGCGUUGACGUUAAAAACUGGUACGACCGGCAGUCGUCUGUUUUAUUGGAGCGAUUCGCUCAAGAAGUGCUUGACCAAAGCCAUCGACGAUUGUCGAGUGGAAGCAGAAUGGGGAAUUUAAAGAUUCUUGACGGUUUGGCCAUCGAGAACUUGAUCGUGGAAGUUGAAUGAGAACUUCUGGAACUUCCCGGUGGAAGCAAGAGGAAAGUCAGCGCGACGUUUUGGGCAAGAUAAGAUAGAAUGGUCCACCGUCCAGCCUAUGUGGCUUCGAUGGAUCAGGCUAGGUCAGGAUGGCCUACUGCAUUCUUCUUUUUGCCUUCUUGGCGUGGCAAAAAUGCGGCAAUUGAGCGGUUGCACUUGGGAAAGGAAAAAAUCGAGUGCACGCGCAUAUAAAAGGCCUGUAGGCCCGUUGGGCCUGCAGAAGUUGUCUAACAGUGACAAGUCCAACAACACGAUGUUCAAGCUACUGCUCGCUUUUUUCGCCCUUGUGGUCUGCGCAAUGUGUGCACCAUCACCAGUGCCGGCGCCUGCUCCCAAACCAGGUCUCGCCCUGACUUAUCCGGUGGGAGAAAUUCCCCUCGCUUACGAGUACCGGUACCCCGCCCUCUCCUACGCCAAAACCUACUCUUAUGGCAACUUGGGCCUCGGCUACUACCCCUCUAGCUACUACUACAACGCCCCCCUCUACACGAUCUAAACGACCACUUGGCGAAGAAAUGGACUCUUGGAUAAUCGACGCCCCGACUGAUUAGUGCUUAAGGAAACAUUUUCAUGCAAAAUGUCUUAGUGAGUGAUUAACCCUUUCAUCCAGUUGCGAAAGUUGCACUGCUACCGCACUAAAACGCUUUAGAACCCCGCCACAGUGACGGCGCUAAAAUCGCUUGGAUGAGAAAAUUCAACAGAAUAUCUUGUUGCUCUAAACUGGACCUUGAUGGAAAACUCGACCCAUUUAAAGGAAAAUGUCCAAUUAAGCUGAUUCGCAAAUAGUCGUUGAAAUCAAGCCGACUUUCAGCUGCAAACAGUCGCCGACUAACGAGCCGAUGGAAUUUUUGCAACAAUUACCUUAAUUGACACUGCAGAGUCCUGGUAACUAACCUACGGUAACGACUGGCGGGUUGGGAGAGGAAAAACCCGCGAAAAGAACUAUAAUUGAAAUUAAUCCGGCAGCUGUGCUUUCAAGGCCUGUCGAUGCUCAGGAGGACUUAAAAGUCCAUUAUAUUCUUAGAUCGAUCAAAUUGUCAUUCAAAUCACUUGUAGUCGGGCCAUUCUUGUCGAGAUGUGACCGAAUCUUGCAGGCAUUUCAAGGCUUGCAGUUGUUAUUGGGGAUCUCGAGGAACAUGUCCUGUUUCGCCAUUUUCUGCCUGUUUUUUGCGGUCUUUCUGGCCCUUGAGGCCAUGCCGUUGUUCAACACGUUGUACGCUCUGAGGGCGCCGGAUGGCAGCUUUGAUGAACGAUUCCGCUUGGUUUACACCCACUCUGUAUAUCGGAACGGACGAGCUGUGGAACUGAUUUCCCGUUGAAUAUUUGUGUCUUAAUUGUAAAUUUUAGGAGAAAUGUAUCUAAUAAAGCAAAAACUCAUGGGUUUUUAAAUUUGA